UACGUAGGGUGCGAGCGUUAAUCGGAAUUACUGGGCGUAAAGCGUGCGCAGGCGGUUUUGUAAGCCAGAUGUGAAAUCCCCGGGCCUAACCUGGGAAUGGCAUUUGGGACUGCAAGGCUCGAGUGCGGCAGAGGAGACUGGAAAUCCUGGUGUAGCAGUGAAAUGCGUAGAUAUCAGGAGGAACACCGAUGGCGAAGGCAGGUCUCUGGGCUGACACUGACGCUCAUGCACGAAAGCGUGGGGAGCAAACAGG
rnacentral:rRNA from 1 species